UCCGGCAGCGCGUGCGCCCUGGUCCUGCUGGGGUUUGGUCCCGGAUGCACCGCCUCCACGUGACGCAGGAUUGCCGCUUGGCCCGUUUGAUCUGAUGACUUGUGCGUCUGCUCGAACUCACGGUGGGGGCUGGAGAGGCGGGCUGCGCGGUACCCUGUGCUUAGGCACCCAGUGUCUGUUAGGCCAAAUAGCACUCCAGGAGUUGUUUUCUUUCCAAAAGUGUAACUCUCUCUUGUAGAAGCCAUGGCCUUGCUCCAGGAGCCCAGGGGCCCGUGUCGUGACUGCCCCAGGGCUGCUUGCCACAAAAUCCAGUGCCAGUGUUUCCCGCCAUGCAUAUCUCCACCCUGAGAAUCCGCUGGAUUCUACGGGCUGAGGUGCAUGGCUCUUUGCCACGCGGCCGGGACACGCAGGCUUUUGCUGAGUGCAGGCUGCAGGCUGGACCGGUAUCCCUCCGUGCGGAGUGCGCUGCCUCUAGAACCAGAACCCGUUAGGCACUCUGCUUCCUUCUUCAGAGUAGGGGGUGCGCAUUGAAACAGUCUGUCUUUCAGCUUGGAGGGAUGGCCCGGAAUGCCCCUGCCGGCUCCACCCUUGAAAAGAUAAGGGUCCGGCAGCCCCCGAGUCGUCACGUUUCCUCCUGUUUUCUGGAGUGUAGUAGGGUACCAAGGCCUUUAGUGGUCUGAUCCUUCUUGCUUAGAUCCCAUUGAUGAAAGUGAUCACUGUGAUUUUUUUAAGGGACAAGGAAGUCUAGACUCUUCAGUGAUAGAAGGACAGAGGGCAGGAGAGUCAGCAUAGCCCUGGAGAAACUGGAGACCUAGCUGUUGUUGAUCCCACGUGGGCGUGCCCUAUUUUUGGUCCCCCAUUUUGCCGGGGGUAGGAAAGAACACACUUGUCAAUCAGUGGCUGUAUACCAUGCCCUUGAGGCCACGUAAAUUUGCUUUAGCAAAGGCACCUGCGGGCACAGUCAUGUGAUCGGGCUCUUCCUUCCGGGAGCCUUCAGGAUCAUGCAUGGGCCAGACUGGGGAAUUACCCCGAGACGGGAUGUGGACCGCACCUGCCUUCUUUAUCUCCUUAAAGGUGGCACUAAUCUCUGUCAUCCCCUUUCCUGGGGUGUGACAUUGUUUCUGCUUUAUCUUGUUGGCCAAGGAGGGGUUUGUUUCAAAGGCUUCUCUUUGAGCUGCCUCAGUCUGACGGUUCUUACCCCACACACCAAGAACCCAGUGGGGGAAAUGCGUCCAUUGCUAACUAUGCCAAUUCCAUCUAUGCAUUUGGGGAUCAAAGAAAUCACCUGUAGGUGGGUCUGUGGACUCCAUGUCUUCACGGUAAGUUGGGCCUUGGACAGGACUCCAUCGCCACCUGGCCUCCACAGGCCCCCCACUGUCAUAGGCGCCACGAUGACACCUCAUAUCUCUGGUGGCUACUCACUUGGGGGUCCUGCACGAGUCCUCCAAAUGUCUGUCGGGUCCCCUUUCCCCCACUGCAAUGUUAGCUGAGAAAGUGGCUGUAGGUGCCUUCAGUGGAAGAACGGGGGGAAAGAUUACUUACUGACGUACUUACUAUUAUGUUGUGGGGUUCUCCUUCCUUGGGACCCAGCCACCUCUUCAGGCAACGAAUUCUGCGUGUAAAGAUCGACUCAGAAAUGGAAAUCGGGCAAGGGAUGGUGACUUUGUCUUGCCGGGACCUCCCUCAGCCCGUGGCCCACCUGUACUUGAUUUCUUCUGUUGGCACAAGCUGGGAAGUGUCCUCGUCCUGUCUGCUCUGGGCGCUGGGUCAUAACUGUCUUCGGGCCCAGCUUCUGUGGCUGCUCUCCAACUUGGCCCGCCAUUGUGAUGGCUCCUGGUUCCAGCCCCUUUUCUGUGCAACCUUGUGCAAGCCCAGGACCCUCCUUCUCUGAAUCUCUGCAGCCUCAAAUGCAAACCGGGGCUAAUAAUGUCCCUCCUGCUAAGAAAAUGCAUGAAAAGUGUCAACAUAAUUCCCAGCCCACGGUCGGUGCCGGAGCUGCGAACUUCCCCCUUGAAGGAGAAAAAGGACGCAGUUCUUUGUGUGGGAAAGCGGUGUGCAUGGGAAGUGGGUGACUUCUCACUUUACUCUGAGGCUCGAAGAGGCUGCACAGUGCAAGGCCCCUGCUUUUGCGGGGAACAGGGGCAGAUGGGAGCCAGCCAUGCAACUGAAGCCCCAUUACAGGGCCUCACUGCUCUGGGUUAAGCACUGCCCUCUCUAAGGCUUUAAAAUGGACCCUCCACCCUCAUCGGGCCUGGGUGACAUACUCAGAGAAGCAGCGAACGGCCCCGGGGCAGGCAGGCAGCCAGUGGAUGCGGUCCUAGCUUGGGGACUGGCUCACCCAGCGGCCACAGGCAAGUUCCUUCUUAUCCAGGACCUCACUUCCUCAUUUUCUCUGACUUGGGAUCCUGGGGGCACAGGAGAGAGGUUUGGAAGCCGUGGACUAGGCCCUUAACCUUUCCAAACUUUGAUUUCCUUGGCUGGAAAAUGGGGAUAUGAAACUACCUGUCUUCUAGGCUGUUGGUGCCAAUUAGAUGAGACGGUGCACCUGCCCGGCACGCAGGAAGGUCUCCGGAAAUGUUGGCUCGUAUAAUCAUGACUUUUGUUAUAAUUGCACGUGUCACUUUUGCCAAAGUUAGGCCGGCAUCGGCGGGGACGUGCGACGCGCGACUGUCCCGGCCUCCUCGGGGCAAGCAGACUGGUGCGGCCCCUCCGCCGGAGAGGCCUGCUGCGUGACCCGUGCCCCCGUUGCGUGCGGUGAUCCGCUCCUGGAAACAUCCCGGUGGCGCUCUGAGCCAGCCUGUGCGGGGCACGUACCCGACGUCCACCUCAGAGGCGUCGGCGGGGGCAAGAGCGGGUGCGUAAGAGGUGGGGAUGCGCCCCAUGGAGACCGAGCCUGGAACCAAACAGACACAGCAACACAGAUGGAUGUUGCAAACACCGAGCCGGAUGGAAAAAGUAAGGGAAGCAUCUCACUGUACGGGGACAAUGGGUAUUUACAGCAGCCCCGAAAAGGCUGCGCGAGCCUCCGAGGCCUUUGGCCCCUGCUAAGGGCAAGUCGGCGGCGUGGAGAACCCUUUCAGCAGCGAGACAUUUAUCGUGUUAGCGUGCUUGGAAAACAGCAAAUCCCCAUUACCUAAGCAGCCACGUUACUGAGCCCAGCACCCGCCCCCCUCCGUCUGGAAAAUCCCAAGGAUUCUUUGGAACUCCACUGACGGCUGCCUCCUGCCUCCAACUCCUCCAGGCCUGUUUCUGAGCUCCUGCGGCCUGCAAGAAAAGUGCCCAAGGGCAUCAUCAGGAUGCUGAGGUCCCUGCACUGGCUCAGGUCUCCAGGCCAUCACCUUAUGUCUCCCGCCUCCCUCCCCCCCACCCCCCCAUAGGUCCCAAGGCCGUGGUUUCCUACAGUGGGGCUCAGGCAGGCCCUCCCAGCCGUCCUCUGCCCUCGGGUCUUUGCUCUGGAUGUUCCGGGUUGCCUUCUGCAUCCACUCAGACACUUCCCCUUGGGUGGAACUGGCCGGUGCGGUCAGGGGCCGCAUUCACCUGUCCCCCCCCAGCUUGGCGUGGGCCGGUGCAGACCCAUCACCAUCUGGAUGCAAGAUGACUUCCCGGAGGAUGGGGAAACCUUUCCCUUCUAAACUUGUUCCAGGGACGCCUGCAGCUGAAGAGGAGGAGUCCACGUGGGUCCCUUCAGGGCCAGGGAUGGCCUAGACACAGAGGGCAGAGAAGCUUUGGUGACACCCGCAUAGGGUGGGGUGGGGAAUCUGUGCCUUGAGCAGAGCCUGCCCUGUCCAAGGCAGAGCCUGAGACAGAGCUUGGGUGCAGGGCUUUAUUUGGGAAGUGGCCUAGGGGUGGGAGUGGGGCUGAGGGUGAUACAGGAGGGCAGGGAGUCCCCACCUUAGGUGCCGGCUGCCCAGGCCCACGAGGUGCUCCAGGAAGCAGUGAUGAUAUCUUAGGAUCAUGUGCCCCCAAACAAGGGGGAGCAAGUUCUUGGCUCUGUGCUGCAGUCCAGAGGUGACCCACAGGGUGACACUUUGGGUUGACACAUGUGAUGUAGAAUGGGUUUCCCAGGAGAAAGCCCAGGGUGGGAGGAGGAAGAGAGACUGGGCGGUGGGGGGUGCUCCAGGAAUGAGGCACGGUCAGGCAGCCCCAGUGCAGGUGAACCAAGGCUGCGUGGGGCUGGUGACCACAGCUGUGGCUGGAAUAAGAGGUGACCUAAGAGGCUCUCAGAUGUUGCACAAGAUGUGUCCCAUACUGGGGCCCUGUGCUGCUUUAUUUACUAAGAAACAAGAAACGGGCAUCUGGGUGGCUCAGCUCGUUAAGGGUCUGACUCUCGGUUUCAGCUCACAUCAUGAUGUCACGGUUCGUGAGAUCGAGCCCUGAGCUGGACUGUGUGCUGACAGCGCGGAACCUG